GGAUGUCAGCGACGUUCAUAGCGGCUGAGUUGGGGACGUCGAGGAGGGUGGGCACGGCGCCGACGGUGACGAGCAUGGAUAGCACGCGGUCGUUGUUGUUGUUGUUGUUGUUGUUGUUGUGUUGGUCGACGGCGGCGGAGGAGGAGGAGCAGAGGGAUUUGAUGAGAGCGGUGGGGACACUCAAGGAGGAGAAGGAGAAGAAAGAAGUGGAAGAAAAAAAAAAUAGUGUAAAUUGGAAGAAGAAGAAGAAAAAAGAAAAUGUAAAUUCCACCUAAAUAGUGCAACUUCAUCCUAAAGAAUGUAAAUCUGAUUCCAAAGAGUGUAACUUCUGUCUCAAAGAGUACAACGUUUAUUUAAAAUAAUGCAAAAUUUUUUUAAAAUAGCGUAACAUUAUUUUAACAGUGCAAUUCAUUAUUUUUUCUUCCUUCUUAUAUAAUUUUCGAUCUUCUAUGGAGAAAAAAAAUAUUUUUUUAUUUUUAUUUUUUAAUAAUUUUUUUUUGUCACGAUCUCUCCUUUGCCCACUAUCACAGCCACCGCCCUCGCCGGAGUUUUCUCCCCUUCUUGUCGGU
rnacentral:lncRNA from 1 species